rfam:Ictidomys tridecemlineatus contig024551, whole genome shotgun sequence.
GGUGAUAGAGCUCAGUUGGUAGAGUGCUUGCCUCACAUCACAAGGCCCUGGGUUCAAUCCCCAGCAUCACAA